AUGCAGCCCAGUAUCCUGCCCUAAGUUCCAGAGGACCAUUUUCCACAUGAAAAGUCUUACGGAUAGACAAACUUCCAUUCAAGCCAAUGUCAAGUUUUCAUUGCAAGAAAGUAGCAGCCGUGUUUAAGAGUUCGCUCCAAAUGCUCAUCUUCUUCUUCGGCCCUGGAUGUCAGACAAACAGGACAAACAGGAAACAAAAUUAUUUUUCUUCGUGGAGGGCAGAGCAGCACUCCCCCGUCGCCCAGUAUUUGGAUCCCCAGCGGGAAUGGGGAGCACCAGGCCAGUGGGAGGCUGCCCCGGCCCUCCCGCGACCUCUGGAUUGAACUUUCCGCACACUUCUCGGCCCCUCGGCAGGUGGCCCAGCCUCGACCCGACCCCACUGCCCACUCACUGCUUCUCCUGCGCGUCCAGGUCCCUGACGAGCGCAUCGCGCUUGUUCACCAGGGCCACCAGCUCAUCUAGCAGAAGCUGUUCGCGUCGCUUCUGGGCCUCGGUCUUCUGCCAGUCUGCAGAAGACGGGAGGCUAGUUACCCACCGGCAGGGCCUCCGAACACCCGGCCCCCCGCCCUCCCCUUCCCGCCUUUUCCAGUUUCCUUAUAUUUCUCAGCAAACCACAUUAUAGAGCCACUAGCUAGUGUUUUCUGGGGAGUUUGGCUGUUGUGGUGAAGGCUUCCUCGCUAAAAGUCUACUUCCUAAACAGGUCCUGUGAAUGGAGAUGGCUGCAGCAGUGUUGGAACCUGCUUAGAACCAGGUGUGAACUGGUGGCUAGCCUGAGGUGCGCACCUGAAUCCAGCCAAAGUGGGGGAGGGGAGCUAGAGGCCCAGAAGAGGUUGGCCCAGGGGUUGGUAGUGGGGGAAGUGGGUAAAUGAGGAGGCGGGAAACAGUGAUGGGCGAUAAAAUCAUUCUGAAAAGGCUAGAGAAUCUGCCUGAGAACCUAUCCUCCUCCCCCACCCCCACUCUCACCCCAAACAGCCCAUUCUUCGCUAAUUUCCUCUUCGCUCUAUUUUAGCAGUUGGAUGUAUCUCACACUGGGCGCCAUAUGCUUCACAAUAACUUUAAAAGUAGUGAAUCGGCUAAUUAGCAUUUUUCUUUGAAGUAAAAAAUAAAUUUGCUCUGCAAUAUUA
rnacentral:lncRNA from 1 species